GAUGAAGAACGCAGCGAAAUGCGAUAAGUAAUGUGAAUUGCAGAAUUCAGUGAAUCAUCGAAUCUUUGAACGCACAUUGCGCCCGCCAGUAUUCUGGCGGGCAUGCCUGUUCGAGCGUCAUUUCAACCAUCAAGCUCUGCUUGUGUUGGGGUCCUGCGGCUGCCCGCAGGCCCUGAAACCCAGUGGCGGGCUCGCUAGUCACACCGAGCGCAGUAGCACAUCUCGCUCAGGGCGUGCGGCGGGUUCUUGCCGUAAAACAACCCCCCCUUUUCACCAAGGUUGACCUCGGAUCAGGUAGGAAUACCCGCUGAACUUAAGCAUAUCAAUAAGCGGAGGA
rnacentral:misc_RNA from 1 species